GAAGCCCCAUCAUCUCAUUUGGACAAUUAGGGGAAUUGGAGUCAUCUAAAGGCUCUACAAUCAAUUGGUGAGCGGACUGCCUUCAAAACUUGUUUUGGGAAAUAUAAUGUAUUUGCCACCCAUUUGAAUGAAUUAUCAAGUUUGUCAUAAAGACAAGUGCCUUGGGAACAAGCUUUUGCAAAAUGGUUUUAUGUUGUGAUAUGUGAUUGCUAUGGACUCAUGCACUAUUGUAGUAUGAUGAUAUAUAAAUGUGUGUUGUGCAUGAUGAAUGAUAUUGUGUAUAAUGACUGUAACCGUGUGUGUGCACGAUGUGGGGCGAUGCACAUGCCGGUGAUGAUGGUGGCGUGAGAGAUGGAUGAUGAUAGUGCCCGUGUGCACGAUGUGGGGGGAUGUACACGAUGGCACUGAUUGUGCACGAUGUGAGGGGAUGCACACGAUGGUUUCGGCUAUGUGCACAAUGUGGGGGGAUGUACAUGAGCCGGGUGUGAUUAUGAUGAUGUUGAUGUUUAUCUAUGUAAGUAUGCAUAUCUAGACUUAUGCAAUGAAAACUUAUGAAUGUGAUAUAUGAUCGACAUAUAUGAGAAAUUUGAUACAUUGUACUUUGGGAAUUUUCAUGUGCUGUAUGUUGACUUUGUUGGUUUAGCAGGAUGGCCUUUUUGUUGAGUGAGGGGAAACUUUUCUCUUGUUGCUCUAUUUUUGCUAUAGCGAAAUUCAUUCUCUCUGUAGCGAGAAACUCUCGGGUUUGAGAACCUUCACUAGAACUGGUUCUCGCUGUAGCGAGAAUGUAUUUUGCUGCAGCGAGAUAGUCACUGUAGCUUCUCGCUACAGGGAAAAACUCUUUGUUUCAUCAGCUUAAUUUCGCUGCAGUAAGAAAGAAUCUCGUUGCAGUGAGAAACCUUCUAUUUCUGGGUUACAAUUUCGCUGCAGCAAAAAACCUUCUGUUAUGGUCCCCUAUCUUGUCCAAUUGCUGCCCUAUCUUUCACUUCUUUGCUACCAUAUCGGAGCAUGGACCUCCAAAAUUAAGGAUUAGAUGAGUUAAGUUUGAAAUGGGGAGGUUUAGUGAGAAACCCUCGGCCAGUUGAGAAACCCUCAUUCGGCUAAUAACUAAAUCCUAGCGUCGCUGCAAUGAAAAUUCAUUCUCGCUGCAGAUACACUGCAGCGAGAAUGCCUUUCCGCUGCAGCGAAGAUUCGUUGUCGUAUUUGACUUGCUUGUGUAAUAUUGAAGUUUUCAUUCUUUAAAUGGUUCGUUAUGUAUGGGUCUAUGAUUUUCAAAUGAUUAAUCAUUUAAGGGCUUGAUGAAGGGUUUUUAAUAAGAAUAUAAACAAAUUGCAUUGUUUUGAAAAAGAAUGCAUCAUGAUUUCAUUAAAGAUUCCUUAUGGUAUGCUUGUUCCCUUUCUUGUUCACUCACUGGGUUUAUAAUCACCGUUUUCAACUUCAUGUUUUCAGAUCACGAGGCAGCAGAUAACUAGGACGAGGUGUCCUUGUAGACUUAUAUCCAUCUUUUGGUAGGUGUCUCGGCAUUCAGUAGCUGUACAUUCGUCCGAGUCCCUCCGCUGGAAGUCAAGUCUUCUUUUUGAGAUGUA
rnacentral:lncRNA from 1 species